rnacentral:rRNA from 1 species
GUCGAACGAAAGUUUUUAACUUUAGUGGCGAACGGGUGCGUAAUACGUGAGAAUCUGCCCUUAGGAGAAGAAUAACUGCUGGAAACGGCUGCUAAAUCUCCAUAUGUCGAGAGAUGAAAUAGUUUAGGCUGCCUAAGGAUGAGCUCGCGCCUGAUUAGCUAGUUGGUGAGGUAAUGGCUCACCAAGGCCACGAUCAGUAGCUGGUUUGAGAGAACGAUCAGCCACACUGGGACUGAGACACGGCCCAGACUCCUCCGGGAGGCAGCAGUGAGGAAUUUUCCGCAAUGGGCGAAAGCCUGACGGAGCAAUACCGCGUGAGGGAUGAAGGAUUUUGGUCUGUAAACCUCUUUUCUCAAGAAAGAAGUUCUGACGGUACUUGAGGAAUAAGCAUCGGCUAACUCCGUGCCAGCAGCCGCGGUAAUACGGGGGAUGCAAGCGUUAUCCGGAAUCAUUGGGCGUAAAGCGCCUGUAGGUUGUUUAUUAAGUCUGUUGUUAAAGACUAGGGCUUAACCCUAGAAAAGCAAUGGAAACUAAUAGACUAGAGUAUGGCAGGGGUAGAGGGAAUUUCUAGUGUAGCGGUGAAAUGCGUAGAUAUUAGAAAGAACACCGGUGGCGAAAGCGCUCUACUGGACCAUUACUGACACUCAGAGGCGAAAGCUAGGGUAGCAAAAGGGAUUAGAUACCCCUGUAGUCCUAGCCGUAAACGAUGGAUACUAGAUGUUGUGCAUUACGUACAGUAUCGUAGCUAACGCGUUAAGUAUCCCGCCUGGGGAGUACGCUCGCAAGGGUGAAACUCAAAGGAAUUGACGGGGGCCCGCACAAGCGGUGGAGCAUGUGGUUUAAUUCGAUGCAACGCGAAGAACCUUACCAGGGCUUGACAUACUACGAAUUUUCUUGAAAGAGAAAAGUGCCUUCGGGAAUGUAGAUACAGGUGGUGCAUGGCUGUCGUCAGCUCGUGUCGUGAGAUGUUGGGUUAAGUCCCACAACGAGCGCAACCCUUAUUUUUAGUUACCAAUUCGUUGGGUUCUCUAGAAAGACUGCCGGUGACAAACCGGAGGAAGGUGAGGAUGACGUCAAGUCAGCAUGCCCCU